rnacentral:rRNA from 1 species
GACGAACGCUGGCGGCGUGCCUAAUACAUGCAAGUAGAACGCUGAAGGAGGAGCUUGCUCUUCUGGAUGAGUUGCGAACGGGUGAGUAACGCGUAGGUAACCUGCCUGGUAGCGGGGGAUAACUAUUGGAAACGAUAGCUAAUACCGCAUAAGAGUAGAUGUUGCAUGACAUUUACUUAAAAGGUGCAAUUGCAUCACUACCAGAUGGACCUGCGUUGUAUUAGCUAGUUGGUGGGGUAACGGCUUACCAAGGCGACGAUACAUAGCCGACCUGGGAGGGUUAUCGGCCACACUGGGACUGGGACACGGCCCAGACUUCUUCGGGAGGCAGCAGGAGGGAAACUUCGGCAAUGGACGGAAGUCUGACCGAGCAACGCCGCGUGAGGGAAGAAGGUUUUCGGAUCGUAAAGCUCUGUUGUAAGAGAAGAACGAGUGUGGGAGUGGAAAGUUCACACUGUGACGGUAUCUUACCAGAAAGGGACGGCUAACUACGUG